rnacentral:rRNA from 1 species
UAAUACGUAGGGGGCGAGCGUUGUCCGGAUUUAUUGGGCGUAAAGAGCUCGUAGGCGGUUCAACAAGUCGGUCGUGAAAGUUCAGGGCUCAACCCUGAAAUGUCGAUCGAUACUGUUGUGACUAGGAUAUGGUAGAGGUGAGUGGAAUUCCGAGUGUAGCGGUGAAAUGCGUGGAUAUUCGGAGGAACACCAAUUGCGAAGGCAGCUCACUGGGCCACUAUCGACGCUGAGGAGCGAAAGCUAGGGGAGCAAACAGGAUUAGGUACCCUGGUAGUCCUAGCUGUAAACGAUGGAUACUAGAUGUAGGAAUUGGAUUGACGAUUUCUGUAUCGUAGCUAACGCGUUAAGUAUCCCGCCUGGGGAGUACGGUCGCAAGACUA